GGAUAAUAGAGGCAUCCUUGAUCUCCUGGGGGAUAAUGUCUGCUUUCCAGAACAUUCUUUUUUUUACAUGAACACUGGACCCCCUGUCUGUCAAUCUCUGCUGAAAUAGAAUCAACAUCAGGCACUUUGCCAUACAAGAGAAACUUCUUCAGAUGCAAGUUUGGCUAGAGAGGCCCUGACGGCAAUUUGAGGAUUGUCCCUAGAGCAGCAGCAUCUCCCACCUGUCUUUGACAUUUAGAUUUCAAUUUUCGGCUUCAGCUUCACAGUUCCUUGCUGCCUUUAGGACAAAGCCUAUUUCAUUCAAUUCAACUGACCAACAUUAUCAAGGUCCACCUAUGUACAAGAAUGCUUUCGACUUGAAAGCAUCUAUCUUUCAUGGAAUUUCUCUGGUUCUGGCAAAAUAAGAGAGGAAAGAAAAAGAGAAGGAACAAGAUAAGAGGCCUAAGAAGAUAGAGAAGUAAAUGAACAGAUGAUGUUGAGAUCAUCCAGGAAGCAGCCCUCAAGGAGCUGCAGCCCUAACUCUUCAACAGCUACUGAAGAUCCAGGAAGACGAUUCCUCCUUCCUUUGCCAUCAAAUGGUUAAGCAUCAGAAACAUCACGACUUUAUUGUUAAUGGAAAUGACAAUAAAGAAGAUUCAUCAUCAUUUGUCUUGCUAUUGUAUUCUGAGGACCACAGAGAAUUUCCAUUUGUU